UCCGGAGUCAGGGUACCAAAUGGUGAGAGCUUCGGAUGCUUCCGCAAUGUUUGCCGAAUGAGGGGACGUUUUGUUGCUUCCUUUCGGACCAAACGACGAUAGCUCUCGAUUCUGUGUUGGUUUAAAUUGGGUUAUGUUCAAACGAUUGUAACAAUUUAACGCACUGUGGGAUUUUCUGUUGCAUAUUUGACAUUUUAUAUCUGACACCUUUGAGGUUGAUUCUGGUGUAGUCUUUUUAUACGCAGCAUUAACCGAAACGGUGUUAUGAUUUAUCUUGUUUUCACGACGUAUUUCUUGAUCCAUAAGCAUUUCGCACAAGGUGUCGAAUGUCAUAUUUGGAUCCGGUCUUGUUGUUAUUGCCGUGACAAAUGACUCGUAGUCAUCACCCAAAGCUCCCAACGUGAUCAAGAUUAGUU
rnacentral:lncRNA from 1 species